UGGAUCCAGACUUUGAUCCUGGCUCAGGACGAACGCUGGCGGCAUGCCUAACACAUGCAAGUCGAACGGAGUUGUUAUUUGGAAGUUCUUCGGGAUGGAAGAAUAAGAACUUAGUGGCGGACGGGUGAGUAACGCGUGGGUAACCUGCCCUUUUGUGGGGAACAACUUCGAGAAAUCGGAGCUAAUACCGCAUAAUAAUAGGAGAUCGCAUGAUUUUCUAAGGAAAGAUGGCCUCUGAAUAUGCUAUCGCAAAAGGAUGGACCCGCGUCUGAUUAGCUAGUUGGAAGGGUAACGGCCUACCAAGGCAACGAUCAGUAGCCGGCCUGAGAGGGUGAACGGCCACAUUGGGACUGAGACACGGCCCAAACUCCUACGGGAGGCAGCAGUGGGGGAUCUUCCGCAAUGGGCGAAAGCCUGACGGAGCAAUGCCGCGUGAGUGAAGAAGGCCUUCGGGUUGUAAAACUCUGUCCUUAUCGAAGAGAGGUAGAUAUGUGAACAAUGUAUUUAUAGGACGGUAGAUAAGGAGGAAGCCCCGGCUAACUGCGUGCCAGCAGCCGCGGUAAUACGUAGGGGGCGAGCGUUGUCCGGAAUCACUGGGCGUAAAGGGCA
rnacentral:rRNA from 1 species